rnacentral:rRNA from 1 species
GACGAACGCUGGCGGCGUGCCUAAUACAUGCAAGUCGAACGCACAGUUUAUACCGUAGCUUGCUACACCAUAGACGGUGAGUUGCGAACGGGUGAGUAACGCGUAGGUAACCUGCCUGGUAGCGGGGGAUAACUAUUGGAAACGAUAGCUAUUACCGCAUAAUAUUGAUUAUUGCAUGAUAAUUGAUUGAAAGAUGCUAUUGCAUCACUACCAGAUGGACCUGCUUUGUAUUAGCUAGUAGGUGAGGUAACGGCUCACCUAGGCGACGAUACAUAGCCGGCCUGAGAGGGUGGUCGGCCACACUGGGAAUGGGACAAGGCACAGAACCCUAAGGGAGGCAGGCGGAGGGAAUAUUCGGGAAUGGACGAAAGUCCGAACGAGCAACGCCGCGUGGGUGAAGAAGGUUUUCGGGUCGUAAAGCCUUGUUGUAAGGGAAGAACGAGUGUGAGAGUGGAAAGUUCACACCGUGACGGUACCUUACCAGAAAGCGACGGCUAACUACGUG